rnacentral:lncRNA from 1 species
UUGUGAUCCGCCCGCCUCAGCCUCCCAAAGUGCUGGGAUUACAGGCGUGAGCCACCACGCCCGGCCCAAACUUAGUCUUAAAGUUAACUUAGUCUUAAACAAGAUGCUGAUUAUCUGCUGGUUGCGGAGGUCAGCGGUCUGAGAUGGCUCUCUCUACAUCUCUACAUGGGUGAACGUCACAAUGUCUGCCUUGUUGGGGUCAAGCCAGGUUCUGCUGGGAAGCCAGUGCUCGUGGUCUGCCAGAGUCCAGGACGGGGCUGUGCAGUCGGCAGGAGGAAUGCAGUGAAGUGCCACUGUGCCAGUUCCAGGCCUGAGACUUAACAAGACCCAGCAGCUUUGGCCUGUGCGUUCUCAGGAGACUGCUGCCACCUAAGAAGUCUGACCAGCCUGAUGGAGAGGGGCUACCCAGAGGACAUUGAGGGUGCAGAGAUGUGAGUGAUAAGUCAUCUUGGACAUUCUGCCACCAUCUGACGGCAACUGCAUGAGAGACCACAAGCAGAAGAACUACCCAGCUGAGCCCAGCCAACCCACAGAACCCUGAGAAAUAAUAACGAAGUGUUGUUUCAA